UACGGGGGGUGCGAGCGUUGUCCGGAAUCACUGGGCGUAAAGGGCGCGUAGGUGGUUUGAUAAGGGUGUGGUGAAAGCCCGGGGCUCAACCCCGGGUCUGCCGUGCCGACUGUCAAACUCGAGGGCUGUAGAGGCAGACGGAAUUCCGGGUGUAGCGGUGGAAUGCGUAGAGAUCCGGAGGAAGACCGGUGGCGAAGGCGACUUCCUGGCCUGUUCUUGACGCUGAGGCGCGAAAGCUAGGGGAGCAAACGGG
rnacentral:rRNA from 1 species